GAAAUGCGAUAAGUAGUGUGAAUUGCAGAAUUCAGUGAAUCAUCGAAUCUUUGAACACACAUUGCGCCCCUUGGUAUUCCAUGGGGCAUGCCUGUUCGAGCGUCAUCUACACCCUCAAGCUCUGCUUGGUGUUGGGCGUCUGUCCCGCCCCCGCGCGUGGACUCGCCCCAAAUCCAUUGGCAGCGUUCCUUGCCCCCUCUCGCGCAGCACAUUGCGCUUCUCGAGGGCGGCUCCGGGACGCGAUCCAGCAAGAUGACCACCGUCUUUGACCUCGGAUCAGGUAGGGAUACCCGCUGAACUUAAGC
rnacentral:misc_RNA from 1 species